rnacentral:lncRNA from 1 species
CCUACAUCUUUCUCCCGUGUUAGAUGCUUCCUGCUCUCGAACAUCAGACUCCAAGUUCUUCAGUUUUGGGAUUCCUGGCUCUCCUUGCUCCUCAGCUUGCAGAUGACCUACUGUGAGACCUUGUGAUCAGAUAGCUGCAAGAUAGAAGGCCACAUAUCUCCCAGGUGGCCUCCGUAACCCUGACAAGAUCUAUCUCUUAUGCUUACAAAGAGGGGAUACCUGUGAGGAAGAACAUGUGGUGUUUGGUUUUCGGUUCCUGUGUUAGUUUGCUGAGAAUAAUGGCUUCCAGCUUCAUCCACGUCCCUGCAAAGGAAAGGAACUCAUUUUUUAUGGCUGCAUAGCAUUCCAUGGUGUAUAUGUGCCACAUUUUCUUUAUCCAGUCUAUCAUAUGGACACAGGGAGGGGUACAUCACACACUGGGGCCUGUCGGGGGGUGGGGGGCAGGGGGAGGGAGAGCAUUAGGACAAAUACCUACUGCAUGUGGGGCUUAAAACCUAGGUGAUGGGUUGAUAGGUGUAGCAAACCACCAUGGCACAUGUGUAACUAUGUAACAAACCUGCGUGUUCUACACAUGAAUCCCAAAACUUAAAGUAAAAUGAAAAAAUAAAUAAAUAUUUUUUUAAAAAGAGGGGAUACCAUGGUUGGGUGAGGUUAUGUGAUUUCCCUGUAGUCGCAAAGUGAGUAAGCAUCAGAGGUUGGCUCGGUGUGCACCUGCUUUACAGCAUGUGUCCUUAUUUUUUCUGGAAUCUUUGGGACCACACUUGCUUAGCAGAAUAUGAUCUUCCAGAGAGAAGCAGGAAGACUGUGUGGACCCUAGACCUGACACAGCACACAAACACUUGGUUUGUGUUCAAUAUACAGGCUGGCUGAACAGGAACACUAAUGGGAAGAGGAAGGAGGCUACGAACAGCACAAUUGCAGGUUAUGUGAUCAUUUACUUUCUAUUCAAUGUCAAAUUUUGCAUAAAUUCUUUGGCUAUGCCCUGAGGUAAUUACUAUGCACAAACUACUUGCAAAUUAACUACAUAUUAAAGGGCAUAGAGCAGACAAAAGAGUUAUAUCUUACCAUAAAAGUCUGCAACCAUUUCAGUCCACCUCCCUUUUGCUGUCCAUGCAUUUUUACUCCAUCACCCCCCACCACUCUUUAUUUAAUCCAAUUUUUCUUCAGAAGAUUUUUUUCCCACCUCUCUCAAAGUUUUGCUCUUGAAUGAGGUCUCUCUGGGAAAAUGUUUCUGUAAGACUUCACUUACCAGAGUGAGUUAAUAUAAAAGAAACUUCUAUUUUAGUACUUAGAAA